UGGGUGUGCAGAAGGAAGCAGUCAAGGCUGGCUUGGAGCACUGGGAGUGCAGAAAGGAAAGCAGUUAAGGCUGGCUUGGAGCACUGGGAGUAUAGAAAGGAAAGCAACAGGCUGACUAAGCACUGGAGUGCAGAGAGCUGACAAAGACACUAGGUUGGUGAAACCAAUAUUGUUUUGGUCUAGUUUAACCCCUGAGAGAUAGGGAACCUGAUGUUAGUAAGUGCUCAGACAAGCUAGGUUUUUGUUUAUAGGGAUUUGUGUUAUAUUUAUGUUUUCAUUUGCUACUGUCUCCUG